rnacentral:rRNA from 1 species
UGAGUACGAGCUGCUACGGCAGCGAAGUGGGUGAUGUCAUGCUUCCAAGAAAAGCCCUAUACCCGUUAAGGCAUGAUGGCCUGUACCCGAAACCGACACAGGUGGGGUGGUAGAGAAUACCGAGGGGCGCGAGGUAACUCUCUCUAAGGAACUCGGCAAAAUGGCCCCGUAACUUCGGGAGAAGGGGUGCCACCGCAAGGUGGUCGCAGUGAAGAGGCCCAGGCGACUGUUUACCAAAAACACAGGUCUCCGCUAAGUCGCAAGACGAUGUAUGGGGGCUGACGCCUGCCCAGUGCCGGAAGGUUAAGGAAGCUGGUCAGCGUAAGCGAAGCUAGCGACUGAAGCCCCGGUGAACGGCGGCCGUAACAAUAACGGUCCUAAGGUAGCGAAAUUCCUUGUCGGGUAAGUUCCGACCCGCACGAAAGGCGUAACGAUCUGGGCGCUGUCUCGGAGAGAGGCUCGGCGAAAUAGAAUUGUCUGUGAAGAUGCGGACUACGUGCACCCGGACAGAAAGACCCUAUGAAGCUUUACUGUAGCUUGGUAUUGUGCUCGGGCUCGGAAUGCGCAGGAUAGGUGGGAGGCUAUGAACCAUUGCUUGUGGGUGAUGGUGAGCCACUGGUGAGAUACCACUCUUUCCGAGCUAGAGUUCUAACAGCCACCCGUUAUCCGGGGGCUGGACAGUAUCAGGUGGGCAGUUUGACUGGGGCGGUCGCCUCCUAAAAGGUAACGGAGGCGCGCAAAGGUUUGCUCAGGCUGGUUGGAAAUCAGCCGACGAGUGUAAAAGCAGAAGCAAGCUUGACUGUGAGACCUACAAGUCGAACAGGGAGGAGACUCGGCUUUAGUGAUCCGACGGUUCUGCGUGGAAGGGCCGUCGCUCAACGGAUAAAAGUUACUCUAAGGAUAACAGGCUGAUCUCCCCCAAGAGUUCACAUCGACGGGGAGGUUUGGCACCUCGAUGUCGGCUCAUCGCAACCUGGGGCUGAAGUCGGUCCCAAGGGUUGGGCUGUUCGCCCAUUAAAGCGGUACGCGAGCUGGGUUCAGAACGUCGUGAGACAGUUCGGUCCAUAUCCGGUGCAUGCGCAGGAAUAUUGAGAGGAUUUCUCCCUAGUACGAGAGGACCGGGAGGAACGCACCUCUGGUGUACCAGUUAUCGUGCCAACGGUAAACGCUGGGUAGCCAUGUGCGGAGAGGAUAACCGCUGAAAGCAUCUAAGUGGGAAGCCCACCUCAAGAUGAGUAUUCCCAUGGGGUAACCCAGUAAGGUCACGGGAAGAACACCCGUUGAUAGGCUCUACGUGGAAGCGCAGUAAUGUGUGAAGCGGAGGAGUACUAAUAGACCGAGGGCUUGACC